CGGGAACAUUUUUGGGGGGAUUGUUAUGUCUUCUACCUUGAUUGUAGUGAUGGUUUCACAGAUGUAUGUGUAUGUACAAAUUCAUCAAAUUUUAUAUAUUAAAUAUGCACAGUUUAUUGUAUUAAACUAAUUAUACUUCAAUAAAACUUUUUUUAAAUACAGAAAGUUCCUAUAUACCCUCUCCACCACCACCACCCCCUCACAAAGUUUCUCUUAUUAACAUCUUGCAUUAGUGUGACACAUUUGUGAUCAUUGAUGAACCAAUUUUGAUACACUAUUAUUAACUACAAGGCACAGUUUACAUUAGGAUUCACUCUUUGUAUUGUACAGCUCUAUGCGUUUUGAAAAAUUUAUGUCAUGACUCCAUCAUUAUAAUAUCACACAGAAUAGUUUUACUAUCCUAAAGUGCCUGUGCCUCCACCUGGUUAUCUCUCCCUGACUCUCCUUGAACCCCUGACAACCACUGAUUUUUAAUUGUCUCCAUAGUUUUUCAUUUUUCAUAAGAGCAUAUAUUUGGAAUUACACAGUAUGUAGCCUUUUCAGACUGACUUCUUUCACUUAGUAGUUGCAUUUAAGGCUUCUCCAUAUCUUUUCAUGUCUUAAUUGCUCAUUUAUUUUUAUCACUGAAUACUAUUACAUUAUGUGGAUGUAUCACAGUUUGCUUAUCCAUCACCUAUUGAAGGACAUCUUGGUUGCUUCCAAAUUUGGGCAAUUACGAAUAAAGCUGCUAUAAAUAUUCAUGUGCAGGUUUUUAUGUGGACAUAAGUUUCCAACUCACUUGGGUUAAUAUCUAGGAGCAUAAUUGCUAGAUCUUACAUAUAGUAAAACUAUGUUUAGCUUUGUAAGAAACUGCCAAACUGUCUUUCAAAGUGGCUGUACCAUUUUGCAUUCUGACCAGCAAUGAAUAAGGCUCCCACUACUCCACAUCCUAACAAGCAUUUAGUGUUGCCAGGAUUUGGGAUGUUAGCCAUUCUAACAGGGGUGUCAUGGUAUCUUAUUGUGGUUUUAGUUUGCAAUUCCCUAAUGACAUAUGAAGUUGAGCGUCUUUUCAAAUAUUUAUUUGCCAUCUGUGUAUCUUCUUUAAUAAGCUGUCUGUUCCAAUCUUUUUACUCACCUUUUUUUUUUUGAGGCAGAGUCUCACUCUGUUGCCAGGCUGGAGUGCAGUGGUGCGAUCUCAGCUCACUGCAACCUCCGCCUCCCAGAUUCAAGCAAUUCUCCUGCCUCAGCCUCCUGAGUAGCUGGGACUACAGGUGUGCACCACCACGCCCGGCUAACUUUCGUAUUUUUAGUAAAGACGGGGUUUCACCACAUUGGCCAGGAUGGUCUCGGUCUCUUGACCUCGUGAUCCACCAGCCUGGGCCUCCUACUCACUUUUUAAGUAGACUCUUUACUUAUUAUUGAGUUUUAAGAGCUAUUUGUAUUUUUUUUUACCCAAGUCUUUUAUCAGAUAUGUGUUUGCAAAUAUUUUCUCCCAGUCUUUGGCUUAUCUUUUCAUUCUCUUAACAGUGUCUUUCACAGAGCAUAAGUUUUUAAUUUUCAUGAAGCCAACUAAUUCUUUUUUUAAUGAUUCAUGCUUUUGCUGUUAUAUCUAAAAAGUCAUCGCCAAACCCAAGGUCACCUAGAUUUUCUCCUAUAUUAUCUUCUAGCAGUUUAUAUUAGUACUUUUGUAUUUUACAUCUAGAUUCAUUUUUUUACAUGUGGAUGUCCAGUUAUUUCAGCACCAUUUGUUGAAAAGA
rnacentral:lncRNA from 1 species